rnacentral:rRNA from 1 species
GACGAACGCUGGCGGCGUGCCUAAUACAUGCAAGUUGAGCGCUGAAGGUUGGUACUUGUACCAACUGGAUGAGCAGCGAACGGGUGAGUAACGCGUGGGGAAUCUGCCUUUGAGCGGGGGACAACAUUUGCAAACGAAUGCUAAUACCGCAUAAAAACUUUAAACACAAGUUUUAAGUUUGAAAGAUGCAAUUGCAUCACUCAAAGAUGAUCCCGCGUUGUAUUAGCUAGUUGGUGAGGUAAAGGCUCACCAAGGCGAUGAUACAUAGCCGACCUGAGAGGGUGAGAGGACACAGUGAGACUGAGACACGGCCCAAACUCCUACGGGAGGCAGCAGUAGGGAAUCUUCGGCAAUGGACGAAAGUCUGACCGAGCAACGCCGCGUGAGUGAAGAAGGUUUUCGGAUCGUAAAACACUGUUGGUAGAGAAGAACGUUGGUGAGAGUGGAAAGCUCAUCAAGUGACGGUAACUCCCCAGAAAGGGACGGCUAACUACGUG